AGACACGCGACAGAGCAGCAGCACAACAAACACACUUUCUGGACUCUCUACUGGAAAUAUGAGCUCAUAAAUACCUUUACUGGAGCUGUGAAUCCACCUGGAUGUGGAGGAGUGUGUGGAGGAGCGUCAGCUGUUGAGCGCUGGUCAAAGAUCUGCAGCAGAAACACAACAGACACACGUGUGUAUCUUCACUGCUGCAGAGGAGAGAGAGAGAGAGCAAUGCCUGAACACAAAUACUACAGCAACAUCACUACAAACAAACCCACUGAAACAAAGUCACUUACAGGAUCAGUGAAGUGUUGUGGACUGAAAGCCUGUUGAACAGAAGCAGAGACGUGUGGCCAAACACUGACUGUAAUGAUGAUGAUCAUCUGCUGCUGCACAGGCUGUAAAGUAUAACCCCUGCUGGACACGGCUCCGGAAGCUCCAGGGGGAGACCGAACUGGUAUCCCCCCUUCUUCAGGCGCGCCUCACACUCACUCACCAUUCACUCAUAUCGCAGAGUUCUGGCUGGGAUCAUACCAGCAACCCCUGAAGCCGUGGGGCAGCGCUCUUACCACAGAGCCACAGAUCUCCUGUCUG